CUGGGAAUGUUUCAUGUGGUUAAGCAAUGACUUUCAAUAGGGCUUCAUAUUUAGUCAAAAAAUUCAGUCUUGUCUUGAUGUCAAAAUUUCAGAGGAUAAUGAAUCAUCUCAGAGCAUUUACAAGAAGUUCAGAACAUGAGUAAAGAGUUGGAAGAAAAAUAUCUCUAAGUUAAAUCUGGAAGAAUCAGCAUUGGUUGAGAAAAUGUGUACUGGCCACUGCACAAAGCCUGGCUUCCCAGGUGGCACUAAUGCUAAAGAACUCUCCUGCCGGUUCAGGAGAUGGAAGAGCCCCGGUUCGAUCCCUGCAUAGAGAAGACCCUCUGGAGGAGGGCUUGGCAACCCAUUCCAGUAUUUUCGGGUGAAGAAUCCCACAGACAGAGGAGGGUCUUCAGAAAGGAAUACGGCCCCGCUGGCAUCUUCAUUUUGGACCAGUGAGACCAUUUCAAGUUUCUGACCUCCAGAAUGGAGAAGCAACUUAUGAAACGUGUCUGGAACACGCUCAUCUAUGAAAUGGAAAUUCCCUGAAGUAUUACAAGAAGAAUAUCUCAUCAAGACAAAUAUUUGACUUCAGCCAGUUUUGACAGUUUUCAAACAAUUUUGUUUAGGUUCCUGCAAAUUUUCUGCUGGAAUGUUACAUGAUAUUGUCUUCUCUGUCAUUUCUCCCAUCAUUCAACAUGAACACAUAACUCCAGAAACAAGAAAAUGCUUUCAGACCGACACCUAUGAAACUCCAAAGGAGCUUCCAGCACAAGCAGACCAAUGAGGAGGUGGUUUGAAGAGAAGACUCUUCUUGGCAUACCUGUAACUGAAGUCAAGAAAGUAGCCAUUCAUUCAUUCAGCCAUUUAGUCAUCUACCCAUUCACUCAGAACAAAUUUUUGAGGUACUUACUAUUUACCAAGCACUGUCUUGGCCCUGAAUAUACUAAAGUGAUCAAAGUAAUGAUUCUAGGAACUAAUAUACUUAUUGACCUAGUUGAGGAAACUAUGACUCAUGGAGUUCUGAGGGAAUAUAAUGGUAAAGUUGAAAUAAUUGGGUGGGAAAUUGAACAAAUGUAUUAACCUCUACUUUUCACCAAAUCCCAAAAAAAUGUUAACAAAAUGAGUCAACAUCAAAAAAGGACAAUGAAAAGAAGAACUAAGACUACAGCAAUAGAAAUCUGGAAACUAGAAAGAAAGACAAAGUUCCCUCACCUAAAAGAACGAAGAGGUUUCCAGUUUUAGCAAUAACAUGUAAAGAGCUUGGAAAUAACCGCUAUUACAAUUUUUAAAAAGAAUAUUAAUGACUUUUCUUGAACCCAUCAGAAAAUGCAGGUUUCAGGGAAAAUACUAUACUGGCUUUGUUGUUAUUGUUUAGUUUCUCAGUCUGCCUCUUUGCAACCCUGUGGACUAUACCUGCCAGGUUCCUCUGUUCAUGGGAUUUCACAAGCAAGAAUCCUGGAGUGGGUUGUCCUUUCCUUAGAGAGAUGAAUUCGAGGAUUUGCAGUUGGAAUCCGCUAACUAGAUCAGAAGCAGAGGUAGCUAUAAAUUACCUGUUGUUGUUUGUUGUUUAGUCAGUAAGUCAUGUCUGACUUUUUGUGAUUCCAUGGACUACAGCUUCCCUGUCCUUCACUAUCUCCCAGAGUUUGCUCAUAUGUAUGUCCAUUGAGUUGGUGAUGCCAUCCAAUCAUCCCAUCUUCUGUCACUUCCUUCUUCUCCUGCCCUCAAUCUUUCCCAGCAUCAGGGCCAACAUUUAAGUAGUAAUUUUGUGAUUUAGCAUGAAAAUGAGAAAGUCUUUGGUUUUGAGGUCUUAGGGGACCUUUUGUGGGCUUUACCUCUAGAAACUCUACCAGAUUUCAGUUGAAGAUCUGGUGAAGAUCCCUUCAAGGCUCUGGAAUGGGAAGGGGAUGUGUAAUCUUUGUUUAAUAUAUGACAAAAAGCAAGAAAAAAUAGUCUAAAGAGAUAAAGUAAGCUUCAGAACUAGACUCAAAUGUAACACAGAUGUUAAAAUUAUCACAGGAGAUUUUUAAAAACUCUUGACCAAACAUUAUGAGCUCUAAUUUUAAAAGUUAGAUAAUGUGAAAGAACACUUGGGUAAAGUAAGCACAGAGCUACAAACUCUGAGAAAGAAUUAAAAGGAAAUGCUAGAAAUCCCCAACCUUAUAACAGAUAUUAAGAAUGCCUAUGAUAAGUUCACCAAUAAACUAGAUAAAUCUGAGGAAAGAGUCAGUGAGCUUGAAGACAGAUCAAUAUAAAUUUCCCAAAAUGAAAUUCAAAAAGAAGGGAAAAAAACCCAAACCCAGAACAUCCAAAAACUGUGGAAUAAUGUCAAAAGAUAUAACAUACACAUAACUGGCAUACCACAAUAAGAAAGGAAUAUUUGAAGUAAUAAUGGCUGAGAAGCUCCCAAACUUUAUGAUAGACACCAAACCACACAUCCAGGAAAGUCAGAACAAAAAUAAGUACCAAAACACUACUUCCACAUACAUAAUAUUUAGAAACCCUCAUCCUCCAAAUGGAGAAAGCAAUGGCAACCCACCCCAGUACUCUUGCCCAGAAAAUCCCAUGGAUGGAGGAGCCUGGUGGGCUGCAGUCCAUGGGGUCGCUCGGGGUCGGACAAGACUGAGCGACUUCACUUUCACUUUUCACUUUCACACAUUGGAGAACGAAAUGGCAACCCACUCCAAUGUUCUUGCCUGGAGAAUCCCAGGGAUGUGGGAGCCUGGUGGGCUUCCUUCUAUGGGGUCGCACAGAGUUGGACACGACUGAAGCGACUUAGCAGUAGCAGCAUCCUCCAAAAUAAAGAGAGAAAGACAGAAAAAAAAAAUCUUAAAAGAAUCUAGAGAAGGGAAAAUGCAACUUACCUACAAAGGAACAAAGAUACAAUGGACUUUUUGUCAGAAAUUAUGCAAGAAAGAAGGUAGGAUAAAUCUUCAAUGUUAAAAGAAAAAUAAAAAGAACCAGUCAAGAAUUCUGUAUCCAGAAAGAUUACUCUCUAAAGUGAAAGAGAAAUAUAAAAACUUCCUAGGACAAACAAAAACUGAAGGAAUUCAUCAUUAGCAUAGUGUGAGUAGCUCAGUCGUGUCUGACUCUUUGCAACCCCAUGGACUAUACAAUCCAUGGAAUUCUUCAGGCCAGAAUCCUGGAGCGGGUAGCCUUUCCCUUCUCCAGGGUAUCUUCCCAAUCCAGGAAUCAAACCCAGGUCUCCCACAUUGCAGGUGGAUUCUUUACCAGCUAAGUCUCAAGGGAAGCCCAAGAAUACUGGAGUGGGUAGCCUAUCCCUUCUCCAGCGGAUCUUCCUGACCUAGGGAUUCAACCAGGGUCUCCUGCAUUGAAGGCGGAUUCUUUACCAACUGAGCUAUGAGAGAAACCCCAUUAUUAGCACACCUGUAUGCAAAAAAAAGUUAAAAGAUUUCUUAAUCAGAAGGAAGAUGAUAUACACUACAAACUUGAAUCUACUUAAAGGAAAAGAGCAUAUCAGAGAAAAUUUUUUUAAAAAAUUUUUUUAAAUUGUAUUUUUCUUAUUCUUAUUUAAUAUGAAAGAUAACUGUGUUUCAAGUAAUAAUAGUAACAAUGUUCUCUGUGAGUAAGCCUAUGGAUAAAUAAUGAAUGACAGCAAUGUCACAGGGAGAAGAAAGAGGGAUUGGAAAUAUUCUGUUGCUACAAGUGAAGUGGUCUAGUAUCAUUUUAAUAACAAUUAGAUUGAUUAAAAAUGCAUAUUGGAAGGCUUCCUUGAUGGCUCAGUAGUAAAAAAAAAAAAAAAAGUCCACCUGCCAAGGCGGGAAACGUGGUAAUCCUUGAUCCAGGAAGACCAUACGUGCCAUGGAGCAACUAAGUCCAAGCAUCACAACAGUUGAGCCUAUGCUCUAAAGCCCAGGAGCUGCAACUACUGAGCCCACAUGACCUGGAGCCUGGGCUCAGAAACCAGAGGAGCUACCUUAAAGGGAGGCCCCAUGAGUAGCCCCUGACCACCAAAACCAGAGAAAAGCCCAAGCAGCAGCAACCACAAAGAACCAUCACAGCCAUGAGUAAAUAAGUAAAUUAAAAAAAUUAUAUAUAUACAUAUACAUACAUAUAUAUAUAUAAAGACUAUCAGACAGGGCAGUUAAAAUGUAUAUUGGAAAAUCUAAGGCAAAUGCAACAUUUUAAAGAACUAUUUUUUUGUGCUAAGGUGUGAAGUAAAAGGGAGUCAUAUUGGAUGUUCAUUUCGUAGCAGACAAGGCAGAAAAGGGGGAAAAAGAACAAAUUAAAUGAAUAGAACAAAGUUACAAACAUGUUAGAUAUUAAUCCAACUGUAUUAAGAAUAACUCUCAACGUGGAUGGUCAGAGCACCAAUUUAAAUUCAAAGAUUGUCAGAAUAGGUAUAAAAGCAAGACUCAAUUUGUGUUGUCUGAUGGAAGUCAGCUUUAAAAAUAAAAUCUCCAAUUGGUUAAAAAGGAUGGAGCAAUAGACGUUGUGCUAACAAUAAUCAAAAGAAAACUAAAGUAACUGUAUUGAUUCCAAAUAAAGCAUACUUCAGAAGAAGGAAAGUUAUCAUGGAUAAAUGGGCAUUAUAUAAUGAUAAAGAAGUCAAUUUUAAUUUCUCUUUAAUGUGUAUACCUAACAAGAGUGUGUACCAAAAAAAAAAAAAAAAGAGGCAAAAACUGAUAAGAUGAAAGGGAAAAAUAGACAAAUUCAUUACUGUAGCUGAAGACUUCAACACUGUUCUUUCAGCAACUGACUGACCAUCAGGCAGAAAAUCAGAAUAUCUUUUACCUGAAAAACACUAUCAAUUAAUGUGAACCAACUGACAUUUAUGGACGACUUCAGCCAACAACAGCAAGGUACACAUCCUUCACAAGCUCACAUAGAACAUUCAUCAUGACUGACCACACUCUGGGAGGACAUAAAAUAUGUCUUAACAAAUUUAAGAGAAUAGAAAAACACAGAGUAUGCUUUCAGACCUAAAGGGAUUACAGUACAAGUCAAACAGAAAGAUACAUGUCAAGUCCCCAAAUAUUUGAAGUUAGGCAACAUACUUUUUAAUUACUUUAAGGUUUGAGAAGACAAAUGUUUGAGCCAAAGAAGAUAAUUGUUUAAAAUUACUUGAAGAGAAUGAAAAUAUAAAGACAACUUAUGAAAAUUUGUGGAAUGCAGUAAAAAGCAGUGAUGGGAAGAAAUUUACAGCAUUAAGUGCAUGUAUUUCAUCUUAAGAAACUAGACACAAUAUUUUUAAAAUGUUUGUGAAACUUGUAAGCAGCCAUUUUUUUGAAAAAAUGACAUGAUAAUGUCUAAUUUAUAUAUUCUUGUAACUGUUUUACUUUAGAGCUGUUUGUAAAUAUGAGAAAUUAUAAUAAAGCCUGUUAUAAGUUCAAUGGUUGUAGCCCCUCAAAACUCAUAUAUUGAAAUCUAAUUCCCAAGGUGAUGGCAUUAAGAGGUGGGACUUUUGAGAGUGAUUAGAUCAUAAGGGUGAUUCCCUCAUGAUGGGGAGUAGUGCUCUUAUAAAUCAAGUGACAGAGAAGGUCCCUUGCCCCUUCUGCCAUGUAGGUUAUAGCAAAACUACAAUCGUCCAUGAACCAGGAAGCAAGUCCUCACCAAAUAUAUGGUCUCUGGAGCCUUGAUUUUGGACAUCCCAGCCACCAGAAGAUUGUCCCUUGAACAGAGUGCCAGACAUCCUUGAGUGUGAACUCAAGGAUAACCAUGAACAAAGCUAGUGGAAGUGAUGGAAUUCAAGCUGAGCUCUUUCAAAUCCUAUAAGAUGAUGCUGUGAAAGUACUGCACUCAGUAUGCCAGCAAAUUUGGAAAACUCAGCAGUGGCCACAGGACUGGAAAUGAUCAGUUUUCAUUCCAAUCCCAAAGAAAGGCAAUGCCACAGAAUGCUCAGACUAUCACACAAUUGCACUCAUCUCACACGCUAGCAAAGUAAUGCUCAAUCAAAAUUCUCCAAGCCAGGCUUCAAC
ensembl:lncRNA